UUCUAUGGCAACUGCCUCUGAGUACACAGGUCUGCUGGCAAGCUGCAGAUGGAGGUGAUGGAGGGAGAGGGGGUGUUUGCAUGGCUAGGAAAAGUUAAGUAAAUUUUGCUUGUUUGCACUGCAGGAGUAUCAAGCAGGUCCUGCCAAUGUCAAGACUUGAUAUGUGAUACGGCCUCUGUACACAGGCUCAGAGACUUGCAACCUGAAAGACUCAAGGACAGUGCUGCUGGCUGCCUAUCUGCACAGACAGAGGCAGCUGCCCCCACUCUGCUCCCCAGGUCACAAAACCUUGGGUGCCUCUCAGAGCACAUGUUCUUCUCCAGCAUUAGAUCUUGGGAAGAUUCUGGGGUUUUCAGUUCUGCGAUGGCACAUAGGACUCUCUCAGAUACUUACUUCAUCCCCCACACAGUAGCGUCCAGCAGUCUGCUGCAGAAUCUGCUCCAGUGCUGUCAAGAGAGGUGGUACACCGGAGUGAGGCAUUGGAAAGUCAACUGAAAGGGACACCAAAACACUUUCUAGACUGGGAACUGUGUACAAGGGCAUCUUAACCCUGAGCAGAGUAUGAAAAAGGAGCAUUUUGGGACAGAAACUAGAAGGAAUAGAUAUCUUACUAUAGUUAUGGUAGUCUUUAGGGUCCUUCAGCUUUUUUGGACCCAGGGUGACUUCAGCUGCUUCAGACUGCACUUGAAAUACUAUAAGGGUAAUGUAGAAAUACGUGAUUGUGGAGAGGAAAAAUGCAAAAGUUCAGUCAAUUUGUGUCUGUCAGAAGUGAAGAUGGGCCUGUCAUUGCAGCACAUGGGGAAAGGGUUUUGAGGGAACCAAAAGCACUUUAUUUCUCUCAAAGAGACAAAUACCCUGCUACUUGCAAGACUCUGUGGGAGUUUGCCAUUAGAUGUCUGAUUACAAAAGCAUAUCUAUCUAUCUAUCUAUGUAGAACUUUAGAAGUGCUGUGAGCCCUUGUGCUUCAGAAUGAAUCAGCUGCUAUAAUGUGCAAGAUGGCACCAGGCUUCCACUCUUCCAGGUGCAACAGUGGAAGUGUUCUGUGUACAUCUUUCCUCUCAGAUCCUGGGGAUCUACCAGUCCUGGAGAAGAGACUGGGCAGGAAGAGCACUAUCUCUGCCAGUACACCAGCCUAGGAAUAUCUGUAGUUCUACUCGAAAAGUAGAAUGCCAGUGGUGCAGUAUUUUGUAAGGUCAGCCAAAAUACUGAUCAUUUUGGAUGUGGGAUGUACCUUGAAAGCCAGAGGUGAUACAGUUCUGAGCCCAUUCCAUUUUUUUCUCCCCCAUUUGUUUCAGGACACUCAGGUUCUGUGAAGGCAAAGCAAUUGCUAGGUUAGAUGGCUACUGCUGGCCACUGCUUACCCACUGUGUCAUCCAGUGGAGGAGAGGGGAGAUGAGGAGUUACCAAGGCUGUACCCCUGACCUGAGUUCUAUUGGUUGGGUUAGCCCUGACCUCACCUGCACUGAAUCAUGCACCCUGCUGUAUCUUUCUCUUGGUACUACCCUUCUGUAACAGUUGCCAGGGUAUCCCUUUAACUCUUCUCUUUGGGCUGCUCAAUUCUCUUCAUCCCAAAAUGUCCUAGACUCUGCAGUAAAACCAUAUGGAUUCAGCUCUUUCUAGAAAGAACCCUGGGAUGCUAUAGGAUUUUCUGUGUUGGAAAUACUGUAUUGUUGUCAUUGGCAUGAGCAGGCAGAGGUUAAGCAGAUUUCAUCUGCUAGCACACCAAUCUGAACUUCUGCCACACAGUUGGCUGGUAACAAUUUAAGGAGACUGAGAAUUUCAGAGGCAGAAAUCCUUUCUGAUUCUCUCAUUUGCAUGGAUCUGACAAGGCAGUACCUGGAGUGGUUGAAUGCCAGAGACAAUGUGAUCAGCGAUCAUUCUGACUUGGGCUCUCUUCUUUGGAUCUUGGGGCAGGAGCCUGGGGUUAGGACGUGUCUCUUCUAGGUAAUUAAUUAUAGCUAGCUGUAAUGAACAAAGAGAUAAUGGGAGGUUAUUGGAGACCCAAGGAAAACUUCACAUCCUGAACACUUGGGAAAGGGGAGCUGAUCCAAGAGAAUACGACAGCUUUUGAAGGCAGCUUGUUACCAAUCCAAGGAACAGAAUAACCCCUCUCACAUCUGCCUGUGACCAUUUGGUCCAGCUAUAAUUUCAGGCAAAUCAUGAAACCAGCCAUUGAAGUCAGACUACAAACUGCUUAGUGAGAGGUGGAGUUAUGAACCAAAGCAGAACUGAACUUAAAUCCUUGGCAGUAGUUUCCCAUCAGGGACUAUUUGCUAUUUCUGUUUCCAAGUGGGAUCAUAAAUGCCAUCUCUUUCUCCAAUGUAUAGGUGAGAGCUCUGGGGAAAAAUAUGGGACAAAGCCAUCCCAUCCAGAUUGGGCAGCAGGCUGGAGUGAAAGGUUAACUGAUAUGGAUGUAGCUGAUAACUCACUGACUGAGAAAGGAUGAUUCCAUCAAUUUUCAAGGCUGGGACUUGCUGCAUUGGAUUCAGUGCCUUGAAUUCAGCAGAAAACUGUGGAAACAAAACUGAGUUUACUCUACAGCAAUAAGAAAUUCUUCCUCCUUGUUUUCUUCUCCCAGGACCCAGUUACCAAAUUUUUUUCCCUACCUCUUUUUUUUCUCUCCAAUACUAAUCUUUGCAGUAAAUUAUACUGUACUUAUUAGUCUUACAGCCAAGUUCUCACUGGGGCUCAGGGAUCACUGCAACCAGGGCCAGACUGCCUUAUCUCUUGAUAAAGUCAACACUGCAUUGCCCAGAAUGGGUGGUACUGCAUUGGUGCCACCAUUACUGUCUCAGUUGUCCAACUCUGCCUUAGCCCAUAGCGGCCCAGUGGUACUAUGAGGGGCACAACUCCCUCCUAUAGACCCCCAAGUAAGAUCUCAGUGAAGACCUCUUUUGGCAACCCACCUCUUCCUUUUGCAGGCCCUUUGCAGCCCCCUGCAAUAUCAUUUAGCAUCUUUUGGACAUCCCCCUAUCCCCACCUCCAUGCAUUUUCUGGUGCUAAUUGAAUGAGGUUGAGUCUGUUUAAAGUGUGGGGCAGCUUCUCUGAAGUCUGUGCUCCAGACAUAUUCAGUUGUAUCAUGGUAAGCAAAAGAUCUUCAGCCUUAUGGAUUCAGUCACAAAUGUUUGAGAGAGGAGAAGGCCUCUAGUCUCCUGCAGUCAUAUUCUCCUUCUGUCUCACAUGCCAGGGAAUUCUGGCUGAAAGCAACUAUUAAUGACACAGAAGUGGUGAGGAAUUUAGUCAUUUUGCCUGUGAACUUUCUAGUGCUAAUCCCAAGUCUCCUAAUGAUCCCCAAGUUCAGUACCCCUGGAGAGAGCUGUGGUAUUUUUAUCCUUACCUGCUGUCCUCCAUCCUUAAUGAGGUUCACUGGUACCAGAUCAUACGAAAUUCCUUUCAGAGCCAGUGCUAGGGAGAGCAGAGUGUAUAGCUUCAGACAGCUACAUUGGGACCAGUUUCAUUGGUAGAAGGCUCAGGGAAAUGUUAGCAUCUACAUUUGAAAAAAGACCCCAUCCCUCAAGGAGGGUAGCCUAAGUCCACUUAGAAGACGGAGCUCUGGCAAAUGAAGGCCCAAAGCACUAAAGAUAGUCCUGGCAAAACCACUGCAUUUUUCAAAAUAAGCUUUGCAACUCUUUGCAGCACAGCCCUUCCUGAUUUGGCUUAUAGAAGGCAGGGGACCAUGUGCUCACCUGUAAAAACUUUCUGUCUCAGUACAAGUAGGGACCAUUCCCAGCCUUGUUUAGCUCUCAAGACCUGGGCAGACCAGUCUGAGGCAGUGUCAUGAAGCCCUCUUAUCUGUUCCUCUCUAUUCCACCUGUUCCAGGUAAGCAGCAGUCUUCCCCUCCUUCCCCAUGGGGAGACACCUCACUGUUCCAGACUCAUGUUUGCUGACAUCUCUGUUAAUAAGUGAUUGAUUAAUUGGGUUAGGGAAGGGGAGAAUACUGCAAUACUGAGACAAAAAAGAGAUCGACACUGAAUCUUACCGGUUCGCACUCUCCAAGAACAGGAACUUCGGAAAUAGCUGUAAAGUAUCGGCUGAGAAGAGAAAGAUAAAAGGGUUAUAUGCUGGGAGCACCAGAGAAUGUAUGUAAAGAGAAUACAGGAAUAGAAGGCAUUUCAGGAACUGUUACGACAGGGGAGAGCAAUGUUUGGAGGAGAAGGCUUCUUGCUUAAAGUAACUCUUCCUGAUUUGGGCAUACAGGUACUAUCACUGUCUCUCAUAAUAGCCUUUUCAUCACCCAGUUGCACCUGAUAUUUCCAGCAAUGUACAAAUUAUUCCCUAUUAAGCUUCCCUCUUUGUCCCUAUCCAAUAUUGCUAACUUCUAUCCCAUGUUAGAUUUCUGAAACAAUUUCUGUAUUGAUUGUGCCAUUGAAGCACCUGCACUGGGUAUUUGCAUGGCAUGAAAUAGCUUUUCCAGCCAUGCAGGGGAAAAAGCCAGAUCUCUUUGCAAAUAAGAAGAACUUCUGCUGUUUGAGCUGAAAGCCACAAAGGCAGACAAUUCAUCUCUACCUGAACUGUAACACUAAGGCAGCCUUCCCAGGUGCUUUCACCCUGUCCAAACGCUCACCUUUUCAGAUGCCAUGAUGCAGUUGUCUCCACAAAAAAACUCUGUGUUUUCCCUUUUAACUCAGCUGGAAUGGGGGAAGGCUUCUCUCCUAAAACCAAUAAGGAAAGGACUAUGCCCCCUAAUCUGUGCUCAGGGCACAAAACCCAGCCAAUCCUGAGUUACCACAGUCACCCUCUCCCAGCCCUGAUAUCAAAACCAUUAACCAGAUUUAAGCUUGGAAGCACAUUUAGGAACUGUUCUUAUUUCUGUAGUUUUUCAUCCAGAAACAAGAUACCUAGAGAACCUCCUAUGCUGUCACCAGUUGCCAAUGCAGGAAUCUAACCCUGGAGAACAAAUAAAAGAAAACUAAAUCUGCUUGCAGAAUUUGUUUCACUAGGGCAUGACUGCUAGCUCGGGGAAUGGGCUGCCUUUGGAGGGAGAUUCCUUAGUGUGCUCCUAUAGCCCACCUCCCACCAGUACUGGCCAGUACAGAGGAUUUUCUACGUUGCAGAUAUGAGAGAAGCUGCUACUCUACUCUCACACCAACUCUAUGUAAAAUAAAACGUUGCUUUUUUUUUUUUGUGUCACAAUCUUUUCUUUCUACACAGGAAAUUGGUACCCAUGUAUGUCUCUAAAUAAACCUGUAAU